GGCGACGUAGCCAAGUGGUCUAAGGCGGGGGUCUGCAAAACCCCUAUUCGUCGGUUCAAAUCCGACCGUCGCCUCCA
rnacentral:tRNA from 1 species